AUGGCGCGGCUCUCCGUGACCACCACUGCCCUCCUCCUCGCCGCCGUCGCCUUCUUCAUCGCCGCCGAGGCCGCCGUCACCAAGGACUUCACCUUCGCCCGGGGCAUAAAGCUGCACAUCUCGAAGCAGGGCACGGCGACCGACCACAUCUUCGCCGGGGGCAGCAAGCUCUUCGUCGCGAGGCACGACGCGGCGCCGGCCGACCACGCCUCCGCCCGGGGCAGCAAGCUCGACGUGACGUUCGACGCGGCCAAGGCGGCGUCCGGGGCGGGCAACCCGAUGGCGUCCAUCCUGGGGUCGUGCGAGCAGAACUACGACGACCUGGUGGACGCGCUGGAGGAGGUGAGCCGGGCGAUGCACAAGCCCGGCACCAGCAGCGAGAGCCUGGUGGAGAAGAUGACGGCGGCCAGCACCUACGCCGGCGACUGCGACAACUGGUACGAGGAGCGCGACGUCAAGUCGCCCUACGAGGUCAUGCAGCGCCACCUCGCCCAGAUGGUCUCCGUCGCCCUCGGCCUCGCCAACAAGAAGCUCUGA
rnacentral:rRNA from 1 species